GGGUGGUGGUGGUGGGGUGGGGAAGCGAACUUGAAUCAGACUAUAAAUUUAUAAACCAAAUUUUAAAUUAACAAAGUUAUAGAAAAAUUCAAACAUUUUUCUCUUUUAUGUUUUGGUGUCUUGUGUUUGUGUUUACGGAAUCUAGUAAUGCAGAAGCAGAGAUUCAAUCAUUCAACUCUGUAAUGAGCCAAACAGAGAAGAUUCGAAAAUUAAAAACAGCAAAAGCAGAGAGCUGGUUACAAAUCUAAGCAAUCCAGUGAAAAAAUUGGAUAAUGAGAUAGAAGCACUGAUCAUAAAAGCCUGAAAAGUACACCAAAAUACAGAGGCGUAAUGAAGAAAAAUUUAGGAUUCAAAAAAAGAGAAUCAAUUAGAGAGAGAAAAAGAGGAUGAGCAUCAAAGCGCGCGAUAACCUGAGAAACGAUAGUGAAAACACAGGAGAGAGAGAGAGAGAGAGCCCGCAUUUACUGGUAGAAGUAGAGAGAUACUGUGGUUUUUAGCUCAUUGAAAGCUUCAAAGGCUACAGAGAGAGAUGGAUGAUUUGCAGUGAUGGUGACUGAAGAAGGAAACGGGCGAAGAGAAACGCAGCUACUCCGCAUUAUCUGUUGAAGUUUUCGGCUGAUUCGAUGGGACUGAGAGAGAGAGACAUGGAAAGCAGGACGCGGAAGCUACACUGAUUUAUUGGGGUGUG
rnacentral:misc_RNA from 1 species